rnacentral:sRNA from 1 species
AGCUCCCUGGGCUGCUACCAAACAUGGCCCUAACUCCUCCAACCCCCUUGGUGGGCCUGUUUUCACUGUGGCAGGAGCUGACUCCAGACUACAGCAUGGAGAGCCACCAGCGGGACCACGAGAACUACGUGGCAUGCUCACGCAGCCACCGGCGCCGAGCCAAGGCCCUGCUGGACUUUGAGCGGCACGACGACGACGAGCUGGGCUUCCGCAAGAACGACAUCAUCACAGUGCGUUGGGGGCGCUGGGUUACCAGGUCCUCAGGCUGUGGCGGGUUCCCCAGACUCCCUCCACCAAGCCCCACCCAACCCCUUUCCCUGCCAAGAGCUUCUCUUGUGAAGAUGUAGGGGUCUUGGCCUGGCCUAGUUGCUGAGGAGUCAUAUCGGGGGUGCAGGAGGCGCUGGCCCAGGGCACCCAGCUUUGGUUCCUGCUGUUUUUCCUCCUGUGCAGAUCGUGUCUCAGAAGGACGAGCACUGCUGGGUGGGGGAGCUCAACGGCCUGCGAGGCUGGUUUCCAGCCAAGUUCGUGGAAGUCCUGGAUGAGCGCAGCAAAGAGUACUCCAUCGCGGGGGAUGACUCGGUGACGGAGGGGGUCACAGACCUCGUGCGAGGGACCCUCUGCCCGGCCCUUAAGGCCCUGUUCGAACAUGGACUGAAGAAGCCAUCCCUGCUUGGGGGCGCCUGCCACCCCUGGCUGUUUAUCGAGGAGGCUGCAGGCCGGGAGGUCGAGAGAGACUUUGCCUCCGUGUAUUCCCGUCUGGUGCUCUGUA